UAUGCACAGUGAGUCAGACUCGCCAUGCAGCCGUGCGGAGAUAUUGGGGACAGCAGCGCAGCGGAUGAAACAGAUGAGAGGCUUUCGCCGGGAUGUGUAUAAUCCUGUCCUCACGACAGUCGUCAGACCACCUCGUAGAUUAAAACUCGGGCUGAGGAUCACUCUCGGGGCUACUGAAUUGAACGACGAGCGCUGGUGACACGGUCGCUCCGUCCUCCCGUCGCCCUCUCCCUGGCAAUUUCCGAGGCACCAAAAGCGACGCGCAGCAGCUGCAGCCGAAGACGAUACCUUCAUAUGCAGCCUUUUUUUCUCGGUUUCCACUCCUGCCUGUUACGCUGUGGACUCAUAAGGAGGAGACUUUCAGCUGACAAGCAACAAGCACAUGGUGCGUUGUUAUGAUCAGUGAACGGUGAGAAAACAGAGGCCCUGAAACAAUCAUUGGAUGUGGAUCAAAGCGGGAAGAGCUGCCGAAUUUCGUAUCCCGACCGGACAUUUGCCAUCUUUGCUCUGAAAUAUUGGCAGUAAGAUGGGUUUUGACUUCAGCCACAGGCAAAAACAAUUUGGUCCAACAAGUGAAAUCGCGGACAGACGGACUGGCGAUCACAGUAGCAUUAUGGAGGCUACCUGACAUGCUGUUGAAACCGUGAUGGAGGGAGGAGGCGAUAGGCCAGUGCCCCCCCCCCCCCUUCACUGCGUGUUACAGAGCAGGUGAGAAACAUUAACAGAGGCAGCAGCAGCUGCGGCCCUCUGCUCCACACAUGUGGGCCAGGAUAUGAGCUAGCUCGAGCUCGCCCACUCUCAACACUGCUCGCUAAUGUUAACACUCUCCUCUCUGAAGCACAGAAAACGGUGCUAGGAACAAGAGGAAACAUGGUGGAAUCGGCACAGACUGUUAUACAAAAUAAAACUACUUUUCUUUUUUACUAUUCAUUGUAUGAGUACACAAAUUCUUAGCUGUAGAGCGGUGGUUACCAAACUUUUGUGAUUUUUUUCAAUCACAGUUUUUCACAGUU